CGAAGAAAGAUGUGUAUCGCUCUGCAUUGCUGUUCUCCUCUUACUUUGCUAUUUCCCACGGUGUGGCGACUUUUCCGUGAAAGGUAUUCAUGGAAGCUGAUACGCAAAUUCGAUUUCAUAAUGAUCCGUAACUGUAAAGUAAGAAACCAAUUAUUCAAGUAGUCUGAUCCAACCAUUGGUAAUUUUAUAUAAUGGUCAAACGAGCUAUGAUAGUCAAGUAGCGCAGCGCGUAAAGAGUCUUCAGGCUCUUUGAUUUAUUGCAAGUUCUUAUUUUAAAUUUCUUUUCCUUUUUCUGUAUAUUAUCCUUGAGUCUUAUAAGUUCUGUUCAUACGUGACCGUUCGAUAAAUUGAUUUAACGAUGUUGCAACUGUAGCACGUAUACGUUUAUUCCACCGAAGAAACGUUGGUAAUAAUUGCAUAAAUGCAAUUGUGUUAUUUACGUUUCAUGGAAAUUGCGAUAAAUUCAUAGAUAAUCAGAGUAGGAGAUCGAUCGAACGUUUUCUUCGUAGUGAGGUGUAUAGGGUCGUGAUAGGUGCGAAAGCCUAUUUUGCUGGUGUGUGAAAGCCGAGAUAGGUUCUGGCUGCGGGUGUAGAUGUCGUUGCAGGGGUACUGCUGUAUUUUUUUCUUAUUUAGACGUGGAAGAAAAAUCGGAACUACGGGCGUCGGGAUUUCAACCCGGGUCCCGAACGUUCGUAACUUAAGGCGCUAACAACUGCGCUGCCGUUGUCCGGUACUAGUUAGUGUCGAGUGCCGCCACAAAUAGAACUAAAUAAUCUUUUCUUUACGAUGAAUCGAAGGCGAUAAACAAUGAACACCCGCUUGUCUCUCUAUUUACGUUCUGCGUACCGGCGGUCGGAUUUGGGCCCCGCAGGAAACUUAGCCGAAUCACGCUGAGCGACGAACGUGUAACAGAGGACAUAUGGGUGUUCUUCGCCAAUUUCCUGGAACUCGUGGAGCUCGGGAGGUGUCUCUGCGUCUAUCAUCCGCAUCGAUGCAAUUCAACCAGAUAUCGAAUCGUCGAAAUAAGAAAAAUGUAAUUCUUUUUAGUUUUUAUUAUUCAGUUAGGAGAUGGGUUUGGUCGGAAUAACGAAACUCGUACGAUCAAGAUGAUACGAAAGCCGCGACUAUACUCGACCAACAAUGUUUAGCUAAACGAAAGAAAU